rnacentral:tRNA from 1 species
UCGGGGUUCGUCUAAAGGCAGGACCUCAGUUUUUGGUACUGAAGAUAGAGGUUCGAAUCCUCUACCCCGAA